rnacentral:rRNA from 1 species
UACGUAGGCAGCAAGCGUUGUUCGGAGUUACUGGGCGUAAAGGGUGUGUAGGCGGUUGGAUAAGUGUGGUGUGAAAUCUCCCGGCUUAACUGGGAGGGUGCGCUACAAACUGUCUGACUAGAGUGUGGGAUGGGUAAGUUGGAAUUCCUGGUGUAGCGGUGAAAUGCGUAGAUAUCAGGAGGAACACCGGUGGUGUAGACGGCUUACUGGGACGGUAC